CUACUUUUCCGCUGAAGCACCCAGUGGUAAUCAAAUCGCCGGAUUUCUAGGAACCUCCGGCAAUGCUCUCAACUCCCUAGACGUUCACUUUGCUCCCAUUCCUCCCGCUGGUAGCAUCGGACCAAAACCUGAUGAACCCGAAACCAAACCUCCCGGCCAAGAAGAUUCAAAAGGUGAUGGCUCCGGAAUCAAACCUCCCGGCCAAGAAGAUUCAAAAGGUGAUGGUUUCGAAACCAAACCUCCAGGCCAAGAGGAUUCAAAAGGUGAUGGCUCCGGAACCAAACCUCCUGGCAAAGAAGAUUCAAAAGGUGAUGGCUCCGGAACCAAACCUCCUGGCAAAGAGGAUUCAAAAGGUGAUGGCUCCGGACCAAACCUCCCGGCAAAGAAGAUUCAAAAGGUGAUGGCUCUGGAGCCAAACCUCCUGGCCAAGAAGAUUCAAAAGGUGAUGGCCCCGGAAAGACUGGGCUGAUCGGUGGUAACAGUGGAGACGCAUUUGAUGAUGGUCGUUUUGGUGGUGUGAAGAAAAUAACUGUUGGAGCAGAU
rnacentral:lncRNA from 1 species